rnacentral:lncRNA from 1 species
AAAGUUUUGUUGAUUUAUCUACUUAUAUAGAGGUCAUAUAGUUACAAACACUACAAUUCAAAUAUUUCCUCUAAUGUAACCAAAAUAGGCAAGAGACGAUGCUUAAGAAUUUCAUCACUUACACAUGUUAUCAAUACAUGUAUUUGAUUGGACAUGUGCAAUUGGGGCACACACCAAAAUUUCACCUAUUGAAUUAAACAAUGGCAAAAGNNNN